rnacentral:lncRNA from 1 species
AAACGAAAUGUCUAAAUGUUAGGCACUCGCAACUAGAUUCUGUGGUUAAAAAUCUAAGAAAUUUGCGUGAGGAAUGUACUCGUUAUUAUGCAAUAUUUGGUGAAAGAUAAACUAAAUACAUCAGAUGCUAAUUGUGUUAAUUUUAGCCAAUCGGUCCUCCCUUUUAAUGAUGCUGGAUCCGCCGCUGAAUAUUUUCCCAUCAUUCGUUUUUUCCUUUAUGGGAUAAAAUUGUGAAUUAAACAAACAAUUGUAACAACAAUAUAUCUUUAUUUAUAAAAAUACAGUAAAUAAUAUAAAUUAGGUAAUAUGGAUGGAUGUAUCUGUAAGUAACUUUAAAGAUUAAAUUUACUGCUUGUUAAAUGAUAAGUAAUAGCUUAUAAUCCUGCAAAAUACUACAAGGGAACUCGUAAUAAUGUUAACAUAUCAGUUGAAAAAUAAAUUGCUUUGCAAAAAAUAUUAUUUUACGUCAAAUAUUCGAAAAAAAGUAAAAAGUAUGCAAAUUCUCUGUAGCAACAUGCUGCACGUUGCAACCUUGUGGUUCUUCGACUG